CUCUAUAUACGCACGUGGAAAGCGUGUGCUCCCAUCUGGACAGCACUUGUAUAUUCUUUAAUCAGGCCCCCCCAAUUUCUCUCCCACGCACCCUGAGAACUUCUAUUUUCACACCAUUCUUCGCUUAUUCCAGCGCUCCUCUUCAAGUCAGUCAUUAACAGGUGAUCUGGAAGAAUCAAUAGCUAGAGUGUCAAAAGUAAAUCCAAUCACAAAUUACUUGUAUCCUCAAAUUCACUCCCUCUAGUAGAUCUGAUCUCAGGGAAGCUAAAGGUGAGUGAAAAACCCCAAGCCCAGAUCUCUUUUACGUUGACUCAUUUAUGUGUAUCUAUGAAUCUGUGUGUGUAUAUAUUUGUGAUGAUUUGAUAUAGGGGCUGUCAUUUUAUUGGGAUUUGAAUAUUUAUCUUGGUUGAAUAGAAUUGUUUCUUGAGCAAAUGAGCUGACUCAUUGUUAAAUCAUGUGGUAAAAUCAUAAAAGAAUUGACUUUUAUCGGACUCUU
rnacentral:lncRNA from 1 species